CCUACGGGAGGCAGCAGUAAGGAAUAUUGGACAAUGGACGCAAGUCUGAUCCAGCCAUGCCGCGUGAAGGAUUAAGGCCCUCUGGGUUGUAAACUUCUUUUAUAGGGGACGAAAAAAGGGCUUUCUAGCUCGACUGACGGUACCCUAUGAAUAAGCACCGGCUAACUCCGUGCCAGCAGCCGCGGUAAUACGGAGGGUGCAAGCGUUAUCCGGAUUCACUGGGUUUAAAGGGUGCGUAGGCGGGCAGUUAAGUCAGUGGUGAAAUCUUCGAGCUCAACUCGGAAACUGCCAUUGAUACUAUCUGUCUUGAAUAUUGUGGAGGUGAGCGGAAUAUGUCAUGUAGCGGUGAAAUGCUUAGAUAUGACAUAGAACACCAAUUGCGUAGGCAGCUCGCUACACAAAUAUUGACGCUGAGGCACGAAAGCGUGGGGAUCAAACAGGAUUAGAUACCCUGUAGUCCACGCCCUAAACUAUGAUUACUCGACAUAUGCGAUACACUGUAUGUGUCUGAGCGAAAGCAUUAAGUAAUCCACCUGGGAAGUACGACCGCAAAGGUUGAAACUCAAAGGAAUUUAGACGG
rnacentral:rRNA from 1 species